rnacentral:rRNA from 1 species
AUUGAACGCUGGCGGCAGGCUUAACACAUGCAAGUCGAGCGGGGAAAGUUGCUUCGGUAAUUGACCUAGCGGCGGACGGGUGAGUAAUACUUAGGAAUCUGCCUAUUAAUGGGGGACAACAUCUCGAAAGGGAUGCUAAUACCGCAUACGCCCUACGGGGGAAAGCAGGGGAUCACUUGUGACCUUGCGUUAAUAGAUGAGCCUAAGUCGGAUUAGCUAGUUGGUGGGGUAAAGGCCUACCAAGGGGACGAUCUGUAGCGGGUCUGAGAGGAGUAUCCGCCACAGUGGGACUGAGACACGGCCCAGACUCCUACGGGAGGCAGCAGUAGGGAAUAUUGGACAAUGGGGGGAACCCUGAUCCAGCCAUGCCGCGUGUGUGAAGAAGGCCUUAUGGUUGUAAAGCACUUUAAGCGAGGAGGAGGCUCUUUUGGUUAAUACCCAAGAUGAGUGGACGUUACUCGCAGAAUAAGCACCGGCUAACUCUGUGCCAGCCGCCGCCGUAAAAC